CGAAGGGGGCUAGCGUUGCUCGGAAUUACUGGGCGUAAAGGGAGCGUAGGCGGACAGUUUAGUCAGAGGUGAAAGCCCAGGGCUCAACCUUGGAAUUGCCUUUGAUACUGGCUGUCUUGAGUACGGGAGAGGUGUGUGGAACUCCGAGUGUAGAGGUGAAAUUCGUAGAUAUUCGGAAGAACACCAGUGGCGAAGGCGACACACUGGCCCGUUACUGACGCUGAGGCUCGAAAGCGUGGGGAGCAAACAGGAUUAGAUACCCUGGUAGUCCACGCUGUAAACGAUGAGUGCUAGUUGUCGGCAUGCAUGCAUGUCGGUGACGCAGCUAACGCAUUAAGCACUCCGCCUGGGGAGUACGGUCGCAAGAUUA
rnacentral:rRNA from 1 species